AGAGUUUGAUCCUGGCUCAGGAUGAACGCUAGCGGCAGGCUUAACACAUGCAAGUCGAGGGGUAACAGGGAUUGCUUGCAAUCCGCUGACGACCGGCGCACGGGUGCGUAACGCGUAUGCAACCUACCUUCUACAAGAGGAUAGCCCAGAGAAAUUUGGAUUAAUACUCUAUACGAUCAUUAAUUGGCAUCAGUUGAUGAAGAAAACUCCGGUGGUAGAAGAUGGGCAUGCGUCCUAUUAGUUAGUUGGUAAGGUAAUGGCUUACCAAGACUUCGAUAGGUAGGGGUCCUGAGAGGGAGAUCCCCCACACUGGUACUGAGACACGGACCAGACUCCUACGGGAGGCAGCAGUGAGGAAUAUUGGACAAUGGAGGCAACUCUGAUCCAGCCAUGCCGCGUGCAGGAAGACGGCCCUACGGGUUGUAAACUGCUUUUAUACAGGAAGAAUUGUGCCUACGUGUAGGUAUUUGACGGUACUGUACGAAUAAGGAUCGGCUAACUCCGUGCCAGCAGCCGCGGUAAUACGGAGGAUCCAAGCGUUAUCCGGAAUCAUUGGGUUUAAAGGGUCCGUAGGCGGUCUGGUAAGUCAGAGGUGAAAUCCUGCAGCUCAACUGUAGCAUUGCCUUUGAUACUGCCAGACUUGAGUUAUUGUGAAGUAGUUAGAAUGUGUAGUGUAGCGGUGAAAUGCAUAGAUAUUACACAGAAUACCGAUUGCGAAAGCAGAUUACUAACAAUAUACUGACGCUGAGGGACGAAAGCGUGGGUAGCGAACAGGAUUAGAUACCCUGGUAGUCCACGCCGUAAACGAUGGAUACUAG
rnacentral:rRNA from 1 species